GACGAACGCUGGCGGCGUGCUUAACACAUGCAAGUCGAACGGAAAGGCCCUGCUUGCCGGGUACUCGAGUGGCGAACGGGUGAGUAACACGUGGGUGAUCUGCCCUGCACUUCGGGAUAAGCCUGGGAAACUGGGUCUAAUACCGGAUAGGAGCCAUUUUUAGUGUGAUGGUUGGAAAGUUUUUUCGGUGUAGGAUGAGCUCGCGGCCUAUCAGCUUGUUGGUGGGGUAAUGGCCUACCAAGGCGGCGACGGGUAGCCGGCCUGAGAGGGUGGACGGCCACAUUGGGACUGAGAUACGGCCCAGACUCCUACGGGAGGCAGCAGUGGGGAAUAUUGCACAAGGGGCGCAAGCCGGAUGCAGCGACGCCGCGGGGGGGAUGACGGCCUUCGGGUUGUAAACGCCUUUCGCUAGGGACGAAGCUUUUUGUGACGGUACCUAGAUAAGAAGCACCGGCUAACUACGUG
rnacentral:rRNA from 1 species